CUGCUCACUUCAACAGCAUAUAUACUAAAAUUGAAACAAUACAGAGAAGAUUAGCAUGGCACCUAUGCAAGGAUAACAUGCAAAUUGGUGAAGUGUUCCAUAUUUUU
rnacentral:snRNA from 1 species